GGCUGGUCUGAAGGUAGUGAGUUAUCUCAGUUGAUUGUUCGCAGUCGGUUACAGAUUGAAGUCAUUGUUCUACUCUUUCCCUCUUCUCACUACUGCACUUGACUAGUUUUUA
rnacentral:Y_RNA from 1 species